AGAUUGAACGCUGGCGGCAUGCCUAACACAUGCAAGUCGAACGGGAGUAGCAAUACUCUAGUGGCGGACGGGUGAGGAAUACGUAGGAAUUUGCCCUUAAGUGGGGGAUAACCCGGGGAAACCCGGAUUAAUACCGCAUGACCUCGAAAGAGCAAAGUGGGGAUCGCAAGACCUCACGCUUUUGGAGAAGCCUACGUCGGAUUAGCUAGUUGGUGAGGUAAUGGCUCACCAAGGCGACGAUCCGUAACUGGUCUGAGAGGAUGAUCAGUCACACCGGAACUGAGACACGGUCCGGACUCCGUACGGGAGGCAGCAGUGGGGAAUAUGGACAAUGGG
rnacentral:rRNA from 1 species